UACGGGGGGAGCAAGCGUUGUUCGGAUUUACUGGGCGUAAAGGGCGCGUAGGCGGUCAGCACAAGUCAGUUGUGAAAUCUCCGGGCUUAACUCGGAAAGGUCAACUGAUACUGUGCGACUAGAGUGCAGAAGGGGCAACUGGAAUUCUCGGUGUAGCGGUGAAAUGCGUAGAUAUCGGGAGGAACACCAGUGGCGAAAGCGGCUACCUGGCCCAUUCUUGACGCUGAGGCGCGAAAGCUAGGGGAGCAAACGGG
rnacentral:rRNA from 1 species